rnacentral:lncRNA from 1 species
CCCAUUCUCCUUGCUUUCCCCGGCCGGCGCCUGAACUGUUCAUUACCUCAUCCGGCUCCGGUACCUUCAAAUUGAAACAGAAUCACGCGCACAUAGGCGUUACACUUUUCUCCCUGUUAUUCUUCUCGAAUCACUCACGCUGAAAUGGAAGGUCUGAAGAAGCUAGAACAAGUACAGAGGACGAUACACGUGCUUCAGUCAAUUGGCAUUAUUAACCCUUCCAACAAAAACGCCGAUUCGGAUCGCUUCCUUGCAAAUUUCACCCUCCUUUUGGUACCUA